AACAAUUUAAAUGGAAAUAAUGAAAAAACUGAUAAUGAUGUGGAUGUGAAACCAAAAAAGUAUGAGCCAAAGUUUGGGAUGUUGUUUGAUAAACACCAUUAUCUUCUUAUGAGCCAAAAAAGGAAGAAUUAGAUGACAACAAUUAAGGUAAGAUUAAACUACUUACUUAAUUAUUCUACAAUUAAUUUAAUUUUAAUUUUAAUGUAUCUUUUUAUGGAUUUGCAGGAUUCAAAUGUACAAACACCAUUAUCUUCUGAGGUGGAUAUUGUAGUCCCAACGCAUGAGAGCAAUAAGGAUCCUGUAAGUUUUAUGUUCUUUGAUGUAAUACUAUUUAAUUAUUUUAAUUUUUAAUGGUCACUAAAUAAUGGUCAUUAUUUAAGAACCUGUGAUCGCAUACCAAUUACAAGGAUGUGAUAUUUAUCCAUGGUUUCCUUUUGAUUCUUACAUUGUAAGUUAUAAUCCAAUUUCUAUAUUUAUGCCUAGUUAAUUUUGCAUUUUCUGGAAUGUAAUAUGGUUCUUAUUUUGUACAAACUAGCAAUCCCCAUCACUCCCAUCUAUGUUGCCUUAUUCUUCAUCUUGGAUAUCGUAUAAAGGUUCUCAACAAAGGAGUUUUCAGUAAUCGCUACUUCAACAGAAUGAUAAUAACAAAGAAGUUUGAAGCAGACUUAACAGAUUGAUCAUUGACUUAUUCUUUUGUUGUGUUUUGUGUAUUAGUUGGUUGGAUGAUAUUACUCUAGUGCUCAAUGAUUGAACGUGGAAAUAUUUUGAAGGGUUUUUAUCCAUAUAUUCAAAGGGUUAAGUGUGUCAAUAACCAUUACAACAAUAAGAGUAGUUCAUAUAGAAAUGUCAAAUUAACCACACACAAAAGAAAAAGGUACAAAUAACUUAUUUCUAGUAAUUUUAAAAUAUAAAUACAAAAAAAAACCAAAUACUUUUCUAAUCAAAGUAUCACAUACAAGGUU
rnacentral:lncRNA from 1 species